GGCAGAACCGUGGCCGUGACAGGUACGCUGCCGGCCACUCGCUCUGGGGCGCCCACAUGGAUCGGCUCCCGCGGAAAGCAGGACACAUCCAGGGCACUGCUGGACAGGCCAAGGGUGGCCGUGCUGGCUGCGAACAGAUACACGGACAGACAGGACAAAGGUUCAUCUUCCUGGGAGGUGAUCUUUCCUGAUCACUACUCCCUCCAACCUCAAGCACAGCAACAUCUGUUGAACAACUGCAUGCAUUUGAAGAGCAAAGAGGGAGUGCCCAGAGAACCCAGGCAGUGCCUGAUUUUCCUGUAAUAAAGCAAGGGCGGUAAAAGCAUUUAAUAAAGAGUUGGUUGAACAGGGACCAGAACAAAGCACCUGGCAUGCAAGAGCCUGAUCCAGAUAUUGCACUGACAGUCAUGGAAUGAAUGAAUCAGCGAGCUGGGAGUAAAGAGUGGUCAAUAACAUAUGGAGAAGAAACAAAUGGUACGGAAAGCCAUAAAUGGCUUACCAUUCUUGCCUUAGGCUAGAACACUACUAUUUUCUCCUUCUGUGCUGCUCAGAGGCUGGGGGAGGAGGGGAUAAAGUGGGAGGUCCCGGCCACUGUGAAGGUUGUCAUUGGCAGUCCUCAGCUGUCAGCCUCUCUCCGAAUUGCCCUCAGCCAGAGGAGCUGCCUCGCCCAAGUGCCCUCUCCUGGAAGCAGCCAUCUGUUGACUAGUCGAUACGGGGUAUAAAGGCGCCGCCCCCUUGCCUCAAUUGGGGAUGUCUCUCCUGGGCCAUCUCGGUUCCAGAGCUUCCCUGGGGACAGGCUGAGGGCUCCUUUGAGACUACAUGAGCAGUUCAACUUCUUCCUCUGCCCAACCACCCUGCGGUCUUCACUCCCCUGCAGGUGAUACCCCCAAGGGCACUCCAAUACACCUACACUCACAUCUCCCUCUGAGUCUGUUUCCGGGGAACCUGACCUAAAACGAUCCUUGGAUACUCAGCACGGAGCGCUGUCUGGCACAUAGCAGAUGCUCAAUAAAUAUUUAUUGAAUGAA